rnacentral:rRNA from 1 species
UACGGAGGGUGCAAGCGUUGUCCGGAUUUAUUGGGUUUAAAGGGUGCGUAGGUGGUUUUCUAAGUCUGGUUUGAAAGCAAGCGGCUUAACCGUUUGAUGUGGCUGGAAACUGGAGGACUUGAAUGGGUUGGCGGUAGCCGGAAUGGGUCAUGUAGCGGUGAAAUGCAUAGAUGUGACCCGGAACACCGAUUGCGAAGGCAGGCUACUACGACUUGAUUGACACUGAGGCACGAGAGUACUGGGUAGCGAACAGG